GUCUCGGUAGCGUAAUGGUUAGUGCACAACCCGGAAAGGUUGAGACGCAGGUUCGAUUCCCGCCCGAGAUA
rnacentral:tRNA from 1 species